GCUGGCUGCCACAAAGGAAGGGUCUCUACCUGCAGGUCCCUCUUUGUGGAGUAUUUGGUGAGCCUUCCUCCUUGGGAUGGGCAAUUCUGUAGAGGUUCUCUGGGCCAGCAUCGCAACUUUCAGAGUCAUUGCUUGUACUUUUUGCCUCAACUAUCGCAUCCUCUCUAAGGAGAACCUAAAGGUAAUUCAGAGCUCUUCCUGGCUCACCGCCGUGGGGCACUGCUAAGCAGGAGGAGCCCUUGCACCAUCAAGAGAGAAAGGAGGCCAACAUCUGGGCAUCAACCCCAAAUUCCUACAAGGCCAUGGAAGACAUAUCAACAUUUGGCUUUCUUGCGAAUCAGUGCAGAGCCCUGAAAGCCCUCAGAGGCAGCUGAGGCACGUUUUGGGCUCUGCUGAAACCCUUCCACCAGCUGAACUCAGACCAGGCUUUUGUUCUGUUCUCAGGCUGGCUGCAGCUGUUUCUCUGAGCAUGCUGCCAGCUCCUCUGACAAUGCUUUCAGUUGGGCUCUUCAGAGUUCCCUGUGACCGCAUUAAUGAAAAUGUCGGACCUUGGGGUGUGCAAUCUACCCAGAAGCCGAUCAGAGCUGUACCAAUAGCUGCAGCUGGGAUGAGCAGGAAAGUGCAUUGUAUUCUGGCCCCAGGAAUCUGAACAGAACUAUCUCUGCCAAGGAAGAAAAGUCAGCUUCAGUCUGUCCUUUCCUGGAGACCCUCUGGCUCUCUUGCUGUAGAAAUGCAAAUGUGGUCGGAUAGUUUUGUCACUAAAUCACUUGAAUGCGGGGCUAAAGAAGUGGGUUACGUCCCAAUGCAUCUGGCUUAAUCAUGUGUUAAAUUGCUAAUAAUCCCACUGUGCCUCCCUUUGGUGUUAGAGAAGAUCAGGCAAUUAAUAUUUG